CCCUUAGAUGUUCUGGGCUGCACGCGCGCUACACUGACGCACGCAACAGGUGCCUGCUCCGAGAGGACUGGGUAAUCAUUUGAGUGUGCGUCGUGAUGGGGAUAGAAUAUUGUAAUUAUUACUCUUCAACGAGGAAUUCCUAGUAAGCGCCAGUCAACAGCUUGCGCUGAUUACGUCCCUGCCCUUUGUACACACCGCCCGUCGCUCCUACCGAUGGGUGAUCCGGUGAAUGAUUCGGACUUCAGCGGCUCCCCUGGGGUGCGCCGGAGAAAGUUUUGUGAACCUUAUCACUUGGAGGAAGGAGAAGUCGUAACA
rnacentral:rRNA from 1 species